AAAACCUAAGAGUAUGUAAAGACAGUAAAGUAGACAAUACAAAUAGUGAACUAAGCCAAAAAAAUAUCCAGAGAUUCAUAUGGUGAUCAAGGUUCGAUCACUUCCUCUCUCUAGCACCAGCUCUCGGCGUGGUCUUAGCUAAAGAUUACUACGUCUUACUGGUGAUCAAGAAACUUUUACUUUCUCUCCGUCAGCUUCCUUGACGGUCCUGAUGAUAUUUCACUGUUACCCUUGGCACUGAACAACGACCAACAGGAAACAGUGAUACCAUCACAUUCUAAUAUAACACACACAGAAUAUCUGCUUCACUCACCCAAUC
rnacentral:lncRNA from 1 species